rnacentral:rRNA from 1 species
CGUGCUUAACACAUGCAAGUCGAACGGAAAGGCCCUGCUUUUGUGGGGUGCUCGAGUGGCGAACGGGUGAGUAACACGUGAGUAACCUGCCCUUGACUUUGGGAUAACUUCAGGAAACUGGGGCUAAUACCGGAUAGGAGCUCCUGCUGCAUGGUGGGGGUUGGAAAGUUUCGGCGGUUGGGGAUGGACUCGCGGCUUAUCAGCUUGUUGGUGGGGUAGUGGCUUACCAAGGCUUUGACGGGUAGCCGGCCUGAGAGGGUGACCGGCCACAUUGGGACUGAGAUACGGCCCAGACUCCUACGGGAGGCAGCAGUGGGGAAUAUUGCACAAUGGGCGGAAGCCUGAUGCAGCAACGCCGCGUGCGGGAUGACGGCCUUCGGGUUGUAAACCGCUUUCGCCUGUGACGAAGCGUGAGUGACGGUAAUGGGUAAAGAAGCACCGGCUAACUACGUGCCAGCAGCCGCGGUGAUACGUAGGGUGCGAGCGUUGUCCGGAUUUAUUGGGCGUAAAGGGCUCGUAGGUGGUUGAUCGCGUCGGAAGUGUAAUUUUGGGGCUUAACCCUGAGCGUGCUUUCGAUACGGGUUGACUUGAGGAAGGUAGGGGAGAAUGGAAUUCCUGGUGGAGCGGUGGAAUGCGCAGAUAUCAGGAGGAACACCAGUGGCGAAGGCGGUUCUCUGGGCCUUUCCUAACGCUGAGGAGCGAAAGCGUGGGGAGCGAACAGGCUUAGAUACCCUGGUAGUCCACGCUGUAAACGGUGGGUACUAGGUGUGGGGUCCAUUCCACGGGUUCCGUGCCGUAGCUAACGCUUUAAGUACCCCGCCUGGGGAGUACGGCCGCAAGGCUAAAACUCAAAGGAAUUGACGGGGCCCCGCACAAGCGGCGGAGCAUGCGGAUUAAUUCGAUGCAACGCGUAGAACCUUACCUGGGUUUGACAUGGAUCGGGAGUGCUCAGAGAUGGGUGUGCCUCUUUUGGGGUCGGUUCACAGGUGGUGCAUGGCUGUCGUCAGCUCGUGUCGUGAGAUGUUGGGUUAAGUCCCGCAACGAGCGCAACCCUUGUUCACUGUUGCCAGCACGUUAUGGUGGGGACUCAGUGGAGACCGCCGGGGUCAACUCGGAGGAAGGUGGGGAUGACGUCAAGUCAUCAUGCCCCUUAUGUCCAGGGCUUCACGCAUGCUACAAUGGCUGGUACAGAGAGUGGCGAGCCUGUGAGGGUGAGCGAAUCUCGGAAAGCCGGUCUCAGUUCGGAUUGGGGUCUGCAACUCGACCUCAUGAAGUCGGAGUCGCUAGUAAUCGCAGAUCAGCAACGCUGCGGUGAAUACGUUCCCGGGACUUGUACACACCGCCCGUCAAGUCAUGAAAGUUGGUAACACCCGAAGCCGGUGGCCUAACCGUUGUGGGGGAGCCGUCGAAGGUGGGACUGGUGAUUAGGACU